GAUGAAGAACGUAGCGAAAUGCGAUACUUGGUGUGAAUUGCAGAAUCCCGCGAAUCAUCGAGUUUUUGAACGCAAGUUGCGCCCGAAGCCAUUCGGCCGAGGGCACGUCUGCCUGGGUGUCACGCAUCGUUGCCCCCCCAAACUCCGGUUUGGGCGGGGCGGAAGUUGGCCUCCCGUGCGUGCCUGCGCGCGCGGUUAGCCCAAAAGCGAGUCCUCGGCGACGAGCGCCACGACAAUCGGUGGUUUUUUUACCCGCGUUCCUCGUCGUGCGUGUCCCGUCGCCCGAACGCGCUCUUGUGACCCUCACGCGUCGCCUCAGUGGCGCUCCCAACGCGACCCCAGGUCAGGCGGGACUACCCGCUGAGUUUAAGCAUAUCAAUAAGCGGAGGA
rnacentral:misc_RNA from 1 species